GACGAACGCUGGCGGCGCGCUUAACACAUGCAAGUCGAGCGAGAACCGGUCCUUCGGGACCGGGGAAAGCGGCGAACGGGUGAGUAACACGUGGGUAAUCCACCCUCGGCACCGGAGUAGCCCGGGGAAACCCGGAUUAAUGCCGGAUGGCCCAGCGGCCCUUCGGGGCGGCUGGAAAAGGUAGCUUCGGCCUCCGGCCGAGGACGAGCCCGCGGCGGAUUAGCUUGUUGGUGGGGUAACGGCCCACCAAGGCGACGAUCCGUAGCUGGUCUGAGGGGACGAUGAGCCGCACUGGGACUGGGACACGGCCCAGACUCCUCCGGGAGGCAGCAGUGGGGAAUCUUGCGCAAUGGGCGAAAGCCUGACGCAGCGACGCCGCGUGAGGGAAGAAGGCUUUCGGGUUGUAAACCUCUUUCAGGAGGGAAGAAGAGUGAUGGAGGAAAUGCUAUCACUUUGACGGUACCGACAGAAUAAGCACCGGCAAACUCUGUGCCAGCCGCCGCCGUAAGAC
rnacentral:rRNA from 1 species